ACUUUUAAAGGAUAAUAGUCAAUCCACUGGUCUUAGGAACC
rnacentral:tRNA from 1 species